UCCAGUGGUAUAGUCAGCUGUCCAGAGCAGUACUGUGCCUGUGAUAGUGUUACACUGCUGGGAGAUAAAGAUCAGUCAUUUCUUCUGGCUGCUGUUGUCACCGUUCUGGAGACAGCAGGUGCCAAGAAGGAGUGACAUUGUGCUUCUCUGAGAGUGCACUAAAGAUUUGCUUUGCCUCUUUAGUGCUAGUCUGGAAGCAUACAAA